rnacentral:rRNA from 1 species
CAGUAGCCGCGGUAAUACGGAGGGUGCAAGCGUUAAUCGGAAUUACUGGGCGUAAAGCGCACGCAGGCGGUUUGUUAAGUCAGAUGUAAAAUCCCCGGGCUCAACCUGGGAACUGCAUCUGAUACUGGCAAGCUUGAGUCUCGUAGAGGGGGGUAGAAUUCCAGGUGUAGCGGUGAAAUGCGUAGAGAUCUGGAGGAAUACCGGUGGCGAAGGCGGCCCCCUGGACGAAGACUGACGCUCAGGUGCGAAAGCGUGGGGAGCAAACAGGAUUAGAUACCCGGGUAGUCCCUGUCUCUUAUAC